GUCCCGAUAGUUCAGCUGGAUAGAACACAUCCCUCCUAAGGAUGGGACCCAGGUUCAAGUCCUGGUCGGGACACCA
rnacentral:tRNA from 1 species